CCCGAAUGGGGAAACCCAGUGUGACUCGUCACACUAUCAUUAACUGAAUCCAUAGGUUAAUGAGGCGAACCGGGGGAACUGAAACAUCUAAGUACCCCGAGGAAAAGAAAUCAACCGAGAUUCCCCCAGUAGCGGCGAGCGAACGGGGAGGAGCCCAGAGCCUGAAUCAGCAUGUGUGUUAGUGGAAGCGUCUGGAAAGGCGCGCGAUACAGGGUGACAGCCCCGUACACAAAAGCGCAUGUGCUGUGAGCUCGAUGAGUAGGGCGGGACACGUGGUAUCCUGUCUGAAUAUGGGGGGACCAUCCUCCAAGGCUAAAUACUCCUGACUGACCGAUAGUGAACCAGUACCGUGAGGGAAAGGCGAAAAGAACCCCGGCGAGGGGAGUGAAAAAGAACCUGAAACCGUGUACGUACAAGCAGUGGGAGCACAGGUUUACCUGUGUGACUGCGUACCUUUUGUAUAAUGGGUCAGCGACUUAUAUUCUGUAGCAAGGUUAACCGUAUAGGGGAGCCGUAGGGAAACCGAGUCUUAACCGGGCGUUAAGUUGCAGGGUAUAGACCCGAAACCCGGUGAUCUAGCCAUGGGCAGGUUGAAGGUUGGGUAACACUAACUGGAGGACCGAACCGACUAAUGUUGAAAAAUUAGCGGAUGACCUGUGGCUGGGGGUGAAAGGCCAAUCAAACCGGGAGAUAGCUGGUUCUCCCCGAAAGCUAUUUAGGUAGCGCCUCGUGAAUUCAUCUCCGGGGGUAGAGCACUGUUUCGGCUAGGGGGCCAUCCCGGCUUACCAACCCGAUGCAAACUGCGAAUACCGGAGAAUGUUAUCACGGGAGACACACGGCGGGUGCUAACGUCCGUCGUGAAGAGGGAAACAACCCAGACCGCCAGCUAAGGUCCCAAAGUCAUGGUUAAGUGGGAAACGAUGUGGGAAGGCCCAGACAGCCAGGAUGUUGGCUUAGAAGCAGCCAUCAUUUAAAGAAAGCGUAAUAGCUCACUGGUCGAGUCGGCCUGCGCGGAAGAUGUAACGGGGCUAAACCAUGCACCGAAGCUGCGGCAGCGACGCUGAUGCGUUGUUGGGUAGGGGAGCGUUCUGUAAGCCUGUGAAGGUGGCCUGUGAGGGUUGCUGGAGGUAUCAGAAGUGCGAAUGCUGACAUAAGUAACGAUAAAGCGGGUGAAAAGCCCGCUCGCCGGAAGACCAAGGGUUCCUGUCCAACGUUAAUCGGGGCAGGGUGAGUCGACCCCUAAGGCGAGGCCGAAAGGCGUAGUCGAUGGGAAACGGGUUAAUAUUCCCGUACUUGGUGUUACUGCGAAGGGGGGACGGAGAAGGCUAUGUUGGCCGGGCGACGGUUGUCCCGGUUUAAGCGUGUAGGUGUGUGUUCCAGGUAAAUCCGGUUCACUUUAACACUGAGGCGUGAUGACGAGGCACUACGGUGCUGAAGCAACAAAUGCCCUGCUUCCAGGAAAAGCCUCUAAGCAUCAGGUAACAUCAAAUCGUACCCCAAACCGACACAGGUGGUCAGGUAGAGAAUACCAAGGCGCUUGAGAGAACUCGGGUGAAGGAACUAGGCAAAAUGGUGCCGUAACUUCGGGAGAAGGCACGCUGACACGUAGGUGAAGUGAUUUACUCAUGGAGCUGAAGUCAGUCGAAGAUACCAGCUGGCUGCAACUGUUUAUUAAAAACACAGCACUGUGCAAACACGAAAGUGGACGUAUACGGUGUGACGCCUGCCCGGUGCCGGAAGGUUAAUUGAUGGGGUCAGCGCAAGCGAAGCUCCUGAUCGAAGCCCCGGUAAACGGCGGCCGUAACUAUAACGGUCCUAAGGUAGCGAAAUUCCUUGUCGGGUAAGUUCCGACCUGCACGAAUGGCGUAAUGAUGGCCAGGCUGUCUCCACCCGAGACUCAGUGAAAUUGAACUCGCUGUGAAGAUGCAGUGUACCCGCGGCAAGACGGAAAGACCCCGUGAACCUUUACUAUAGCUUGACACUGAACAUUGAGCCUUGAUGUGUAGGAUAGGUGGGAGGCUUUGAAGCGUGGACGCCAGUCUGCAUGGAGCCGGCCUUGAAAUACCACCCUUUAAUGUUUGAUGUUCUAACGUGGACCCGUGAUCCGGGUUGCGGACAGUGUCUGGUGGGUAGUUUGACUGGGGCGGUCUCCUCCUAAAGAGUAACGGAGGAGCACGAAGGUUGGCUAAUCCUGGUCGGACAUCAGGAGGUUAGUGCAAUGGCAUAAGCCAGCUUGACUGCGAGCGUGACGGCGCGAGCAGGUGCGAAAGCAGGUCAUAGUGAUCCGGUGGUUCUGAAUGGAAGGGCCAUCGCUCAACGGAUAAAAGGUACUCCGGGGAUAACAGGCUGAUACCGCCCAAGAGUUCAUAUCGACGGCGGUGUUUGGCACCUCGAUGUCGGCUCAUCACAUCCUGGGGCUGAAGUAGGUCCCAAGGGUAUGGCUGUUCGCCAUUUAAAGUGGUACGCGAGCUGGGUUUAGAACGUCGUGAGACAGUUCGGUCCCUAUCUGCCGUGGGCGCUGGAGAACUGAGGGGGGCUGCUCCUAGUACGAGAGGACCGGAGUGGACGCAUCACUGGUGUUCGGGUUGUCAUGCCAAUGGCACUGCCCGGUAGCUAAAUGCGGAAGAGAUAAGUGCUGAAAGCAUCUAAGCACGAAACUUGCCCCGAGAUGAGUUCUCCCUGAGACUUAGAGUCUCCUGAAGGAACGUUGAAGACGACGACGUUGAUAGGCCGGGUGUGUAAGCGCAGCGAUGCGUUGAGCUAACCGGUACUAAUGAACCGUGAGGCUUAACCUU
rnacentral:rRNA from 1 species